UAUUAUUUUAGAUUUAAAAAUUUAAUUUGAGUAGUAUUAGUUAUGGUCUUGAAACUUAAAGAAUUUGGCGGUAUUUUAGUCUAGUUAGAGGAAUCUGUUCCAUUAUCGAUAAUCCACGUUGGACCUUACUCAAUAUUAUUUAAUAUGUAUACCGCCGUUUAUUUGAAAAUCUUUUUAGGGUUAAUUUUCUUUUAGUUAAAAUUGAUUUUAUUUCAGGUCAAGGUGCAGUUGAUGAUUGAGUGGAAAUGGAUUACAAUAUUUAUAAAAUACACGGAUUAUAAUUUGAAACUGUUUUAUGAAGGGGGAUUUAAUAGUAAUUAAUAAUUAGAAUUAUUAUUUUGAUUUUAGCUCUAAGAUGUGCACACAUCGCCCGUCACUCUCGUUAUUAAGAUGAG
rnacentral:rRNA from 1 species